GACGAACGCUGGCGGCGUGCCUAAUACAUGCAAGUCGAGCGGACGAAUCGAAAGCUUGCUUUUGAUUCGUUAGCGGCGGACGGGUGAGUAACACGUGGGCAACCUGCCCUGUAGACGGGGAUAACACCGAGAAAUCGGUGCUAAUACCGGAUAACACGAAAUGUCGCAUGACGUUUCGUUGAAAGACGGCGCAAGCUGUCGCUACAGGAUGGGCCCGCGGCGCAUUAGCUAGUUGGUGAGGUAACGGCUCACCAAGGCGACGAUGCGUAGCCGACCUGAGAGGGUGAUCGGCCACACUGGGACUGAGACACGGCCCAGACUCCUACGGGAGGCAGCAGUAAGGAAUCUUCCGCAAUGGACGAAAGUCUGACGGAGCAACGCCGCGUGAGCGAAGAAGGCCUUCGGGUCGUAAAGCUCUGUUGUUAGGGAAGAACAAGUAACGCAGUAACUGGCGUUACCGUGACGGUACCUAACGAGAAAGCCACGGCUAACUACG
rnacentral:rRNA from 1 species